rnacentral:lncRNA from 1 species
CCACGUUUGAGUUGUGCUCCCUUCUUUACGUAGUAUUAGCAGCAGCAGCCGCAGUAGUGGAUUGGUGAAAGGGGUCUAAAGAAGGGUGGAAGGUGUUAACCCAAAAUUUCUUGGCCUAAAUGAUUGAUGAAUUUGAAACCACUACAUUAGCUUUGGUUAUGUGGGGUAUGUAUUUUCAUUUCUUUCUCCGGCAAGAAGAGCUGUAUAUAAUGGGCUAAUAAAGUAAGGAAAGGAAAGAAGUAAUGGGAUUGAUGUUGCGGUUUGCUUGCUAGGAUUGGAGAAAAGUAAUGGGGAUUAGUUUGUUGACCAGAAAUGAUAUCGUAUUAGCUUUUGAGUGAGAUUUAUUAAAGAAAGUCACAAAGAUUUGACACGCAUGGAUGGUUGAUAGUGGUGGUAUGAGUUGUAAAAUGAAGACAAAGCACCUUCUUUUAGGAGAUGUGUCUUGAGAACCUCCAUGGAUUUAGUGCAUGCGCGUUGGGUAACUUGGGUCCCACCUUCCACCCCUCUCUUUUAUGCUUUUGUCUUUUCUCUUUAGUCUAAAAUCACAAUCAUGUUGGUAGUAGUCUCAAUAAAAGUCUGAAGAAAAAAGUUUACUCUUGUGGGGUAGGGAUGAGAAAGUGCAAAUUGGGUUGUGCAACUUGCAUUUCAAUUCCAAACUGUUGGGUCCGAACCCUUGAUUAAGAAGUAAUGGUUGUGGUUUGUUUCACAUGUUAAUGUUUGAAAGCUGGUAGCAUGUACGUUAUGUUGCGACUUGUAACCAUAAUAAUAUUUGUUAUUGCCAAGUGUGAACUGUUAAAGAAUUGGUUUGUAAUCUUGAGUGUGUAUAUGGAGCUGUGUGAGCUGAUGCUAUUAUGGCUUUGUCAGUUGUGCUUGUGUAUCAAUAAUUGGGAGUUUGAAACAUGGGGAAGAAUGAAUACUUCCAAUGUAAUUGCCCCUUUGCGGCUGUUGCUCAGUUGUCAUUGUUCUAAUCUUUGUCAGAAUUUGUAUGUUUGUAAUUUGUUUUAAAAGUAUUGUAUUGGAUUUCCUUUAUUGAAGAGUUUUGUCUUUGUAGAGUCGUGUGAAGUG